AUUGAACGCUGGCGGAAUGCUUUACACAUGCAAGUCGAACGGCAGCACGGACUUCGGUCUGGUGGCGAGUGGCGAACGGGUGAGUAAUGUAUCGGAACGUGCCCAGUCGUGGGGGAUAACGUAGUGAAAAUUACGCUAAUACCGCAUACGAUCUAUGGAUGAAAGCGGGGGAUCGCAAGACCUCGCGCGAUUGGAGCGGCCGAUAUCAGAUUAGGUAGUUGGUGGGGUAAAGGCCCACCAAGCCAACGAUCUGUAGCUGGUCUGAGAGGACGACCAGCCACACUGGAACUGAGACACGGUCCAGACUCCUACGGGAGGCAGCAGUGGGGAAUUUUGGACAAUGGGCGAAAGCCUGAUCCAGCCAUUCCGCGUGCGGGACGAAGGCCCUCGGGUUGUAAACUGCUUUUGUACAGAACGAAAAGGUUUCUACUAAUACUAGGAGCUCAUGACGGUACUGUAAGAAUAAGCACCGGCUAACUACGUGCCAGCAGCCGCCGUAA
rnacentral:rRNA from 1 species